CUCAUCUAUUAGCAAGGACACCUCUGGAAGAUGCAAGGCCCAGAUGUCACAGCCAGCCUUAUCAAUAAACAAUCUCAUGCCUUGACAGAAGGAAGAUGGAGGGCCAAUUGAAUACUCAGAUCAAGUGUCUGUCUGGAAAGCUGGCAGUCUUCCAGAAAUACAAUUAGGGCCCAUUCCAGUGGAACAGAAGUGCUACUUUGGGGGUGGACUGAAACAAGUUGCUGGGCUUCCAUUGGCCAUUGCCACUUGCUUGACGUUGUGAAGAGGGGCCGUGCCUCCACAGGCCCAUACCUGUAACCUGACGAUACUGUUGUGAGCGGGAAUGGAGGAAGUGCAUGUAACCCCCUCAGCACGAUGCAUAGUGAACAGACAAGCUGUGAGCCUUGGGAGUUAUCACCAUGUGUGAUGAUGCUGGUGAAGAAAGCCAGCACUGCGGAGGCUGACAGCCUGGGUUUGUAUCCCCUCAUUUGGAAUAUAAUCUUGGCAAAGUC
rnacentral:lncRNA from 1 species